UAUCUCAUAGCUCAGUGGUAGAGAAUCGCACUAGUAACGCGGAGGUCAUGGGUUCGAAUCCCGUCGAGGCCAGAA